rnacentral:sRNA from 1 species
UCCACAGUCAGUUUGGCGACGACAGCGAC